AUUCAAAGUUCUGAUUCCAAAUGUUACUUAAGAACUAGUAAUAUUUUGACUAAUUCAAAUGUUCUUACAAAUCUUCUAGUAUAAUUCAACUUGGCACAUAGAGGAGGAGCAUUUUUACUUCGUUCUCUCUGUGCUGCUAGCUGCAUUCUGAGAUAUCUAUGGUCGGAGAAGGAGAGAGUCCCGCUAUCGGAAUCGACCUCGGAACCACCUACUCCUGCGUCGGAGUGUGGCAGAACGACCGUGUCGAAAUCAUCCCCAACGACCAGGGAAACCGAACCACCCCCUCUUAUGUUGCUUUCACCGAUUUCGAGCGCUUGAUCGGUGAUGCCGCCAAGAACCAGGUCUCCAGGAACCCCAUCAACACCAUCUUCGAUGCGAAGCGUUUGAUUGGAAGGAAAUUCUCGGAUGAUUCAGUUGAGAGUGACAUGAAGCUAUGGCCAUUCAAGGUCAUUUCCGGUCCUGUCGACAGGCCCAUGAUUGUUGUUAACUACAAGAAUGAGGAGAAGCAAUUCACUGCUGAGGAGAUUUCCUCCAUGGUCCUCAUCAAGAUGCGUGAGAUUGCCGAGGCUUAUCUUGGUUCCACCGUGAAGAAUGUCGUUGUCACUGUCCCAGCAUACUUCAAUGACUCUCAACGCCAGGCUACCAAGGACGCAGGUGUCAUCGCGGGCCUAAAUGUCAUGCGUAUCAUCAACGAACCCACUGCUGCUGCCCUUGCCUAUGGCCUUAACACGGGGGCCGCCUCCCUAGAUUAUGGGAAGAACGUGUUGAUUUUUGACCUUGGGGGUGGUACUUUUGAUGUCUCUCUUCUAAUAAUUUCUAAUGGUCUCUUUCAUGUUCAAGCCACUUCCGGAGACACCCAUCUUGGAGGUGAGGACUUUGAUAACAGGAUGGUUAACCAUUUUGUUGAGGAGUUCAAGAGGAAGCACGAGAAGGAUAUUAGUGGGAAUCUGAGGGCUUUAAGAAGGUUGAGGAUUGCAUGUGAAAGGGCAAAGAGGACUCUCUCCUCCACAAAACAUACCACCAUUGAGAUUGACUCAUUGUAUAAAGGUGUUGACUUCUACACUACAAUCACUCGUGACAGGUUUGAAGAGCUCAACUUGGACCUCUUUAGGAGUUGCAUUGAGACUGUUGAGCGGUGUCUAAAGGACUCUAAGAUGGACAAGAGCAGUGUCCAUGAUAUUGUUCUAGUUGGUGGGUCUACUAGGAUCCCAAAAGUGCAGUCACUGAUGCAAAAUUUCUUCAAUGGGAAGGAGCUCUGCAAGAGCAUUAGCCCUGAAGAGGCUGUUGCUUGUGGAGCUGCUGUUCAGGCUGCUAUCUUGACUAAAGAGGAUACUAAGACGAUUCAGAAAUUUUUGUUGAUGGAUGCCACACCCCUUUCCCUUGGUGUGGAAAUUGUUGGUGGUGUCAUGUCUGUACUCAUUGAAAAGAACAAAACGAUUCCUUUCACAAAGGAGCAGGUUUUCUCGACCUACUCAAACAACCAGCCUGGUGUGUCAAUCAAGGUGUACGAGGGUGAAAGUAUCUGUAGCAGGGACAAUUACUUGUUGGGUAAAUUUGAGCUUUCUGGCAUUCCUCCUGCUCCAAGAGGUGUUCCUCAGAUCAAUGUUUGCUUUCAUAUUGAUAUUAAUGGUAUCUUGAAUGUCUCUGCUGAGGACAAGACUACAGGGAAUAAGAAAAAUAUCAUUAUCACCAAUCACAAGGGAAGGCUCUCUAAGGAGGAGAUUGAGAAGAUGGUGCAGGAGGCGGAGAAGUACAAUUCUACAAAAGAUGCUCCAGAUCAACACUUGAAGGCACAAGUAGAACAUGAUACUUGCCAUUAUAUUACUGCACGAUGUAUCCCAUCUCCAUCAGGUGAAAAGCCAGAUCCAUCAGAACACAAGGUGUCCUCAACUCCAUGCGUGGAGUCCCUUAUGGAAAAUCUAGGUGCACAUGUAGAGGAGUUAAUCUCUUAUGGAAAAUCUGGGUCCUCCAAUUCUACAAAAGAAGCCUCAGAUCAACACUUUGAGGCACUAGUAGAACAUCACAUUACAAUACCAACCCCAAGUUUACAAGCCUUCCCUUCUAGAAACAUGAGGUAUUAUUUUAAAUCUACAUAAAAGGCUUCACAGAAGAUUAUAAAGGGACUAAAAGAUGAUAAUUUCUAUGCAAUUGGAUUGUAUGGAAAAAGGGGCUCCGUUAAAACAACAUUAAUCAAAGCUGAGAUGGAAGAGUAUGAAAAGAAUUUUCGUAAAGUGAUAUUUCUCACUGUGUAUGAGAAUCAAGAUAUCAAGAGCAUUCGAUUGGGAAUUGCUAGCUCCUUGAACGUGUUUGAAAAUGAUGACAGUGAUGGUGCAAGAAUAGUGAAAAUAAUUUCGGCAUUAGAAAGGAAGGAUAGAACUACUCUAGUCGUCUUGGAUAAUUUUCCAUCAAUGUCUAAAUUGGAAGAAUUAGGUAUUCCUAAUUAUAAGAGCAAACAGUACAAGUUCCUUUUGACCACUCGCCAUGAGACAGACUGCACCUCAAUCAGAUGUGAUCAUUUGAUUCUUCUGAGCCCCUUAUCUAACGAAGAAGCUUUUGCCCUGCUACAAAAACUUUCAGGUGUUGACUCCCAUAUUGAUAUAGUACGAGAUGUUGCUUUUAAAUGCAAUGGCUUGCCGGGUUUGAUUAAAGAUGUUGCAUCUUCCUUGAAAAAUAAGUCUAUUGUGAAGUGGGAAGAAGCAUUAGUUAGUUUAAGCCACUCAACAACCCGCUACCAAAUUUUUAUCAGCUUCAGAAGAAAUGAUACUAGAAAGAUUUUCACAAACCAUCUCUAUGAUGCUUUGUGUAAGGAGGGAUUCGAAACGUUCAAAGAUGAUCAAGCAUUGGAGAGUGGAGCCCCAAUUGAGAAACUUCUUGAAGCCAUUGAAGAAUCAAGGGCCAGAGAUGAAUUUAUUGGAAAGAUCAUAAGAUUUGCCCUUAAUAACAGACAUCGCUUACAUAUACAAAGCAUGUAUAUCAACUAGAUGAAAGGCUUUAGAUUCUCUUAUGGUGAGGGCAACACAAGACACAGCUUGUUGCAAAAGGUUAUGGGAUCAUAAAUGGAUUUUGGUUGUAAUUGUUGGGUUUUUGGAUAUGAAUGUAAACAAAGAAAAUUUGUUAUUUGUUACAUGUUCUAUAUAUAGAGUAAGUGAGGUUGUUUAAAUAACU